rnacentral:rRNA from 1 species
AGAGUUUGAUCCUGGCUCAGAGUGAACGCUGGCGGCGUGCCUAAUACAUGCAAGUCGAACGAACGAAUAAGAGCUUGCUCUUAUAAGUUAGUGGCGCACGGGUGAGUAAUAUAUAGCUAAUCUGCCUCUUAGUAGAGGAUAACAGUCGGAAACGAUUGCUAAUACUCUAUACUUCUGCUUUACAUAAGUAAAGUAGAGAAAGUUUUUCGCUAAGAGAUGAGGCUAUACUGUAUCAGCUAGUUGGUAAGGUAACGGCUUACCAAGGCUAUGACGCAUAACUGGUCUGAGAGGAUGAUCAGUCACAUUGGAACUGAGACACGGUCCAAACUCCUACGGGAGGCAGCAGUAGGGAAUAUUGCGCAAUGGGGGAAACCCUGACGCAGCAACGCCGCGUGGAGGAUGACACUUUUCGGAGCGUAAACUCCUUUUAUCGGGAAAGAAUAAUGACGGUACCCGAUGAAUAAGCACCGGCUAACUCCGUGCCAGCAGCCGCGGUAAUACGGAGGGUGCAAGCGUUACUCGGAAUCACUGGGCGUAAAGGGUGCGUAGGUGGAUUAUCAAGUCUCUUGUGAAAUCUAAUAGCUUAACUAUUAAAUUGCUUGGGAAACUGAUAGUCUAGAGUAGGGGAGAGGCAGAUGGAACUCUUGGUGUAGGAGUAAAAUCCGUAGAUAUCAAGAAGAAUACCUAUUGCGAAAGCGAUCUGCUAGAACCUAACUGACACUGAUGCACGAAAGCGUGGGGAGCAAACAGGAUUAGAUACCCUGGUAGUCGGAGUACGGUCGCAAGAUUAAAACUCAAAGGAAUAGACGGGGACCCGCACAAGCGGUGGAGCAUGUGGUUUAAUUCGAAGAUACGCGAAGAACCUUACCCGGACUUGAUAUCUAACAAAUCAUCCAGAGAUGGAAGAGUGUCUGCUUGCAGAAAUGUUAAGACAGGUGCUGCACGGCUGUCGUCAGCUCGUGUCGUGAGAUGUUGGGUUAAGUCCCGCAACGAGCGCAACCCACGUAUUUAGUUGCUAACAGUUAGGCUGAGUUCUCUAAAUAGACUGCCUUCGUAAGGAGGAGGAAGGUGUGGACGACGUCAAGUCAUCAUGGCCCUUAUGUCCGGGGCGACACACGUGCUACAAUGACAUAUACAAUGAGAUGCAAUAUCGCAAGAUGGAGCAAAUCUAUAAAAUAUGUCCCAGUUCGGAUUGGAGUCUGCAACUCGACUCCAUGAAGCCGGAAUCGCUAGUAAUCGUAGAUCAGCCAUGCUACGGUGAAUACGUUCCCGGGUCUUGUACUCACCGCCCGUCACACCAUGGGAGUUGAUUUCACUCGAAGCGGGGAUGCAAAAUUUGCUACCCUCCACAGUGGAAUCAGCGACUGGGGUGAAGUCGUAACAAGGUAACCGUAGGAGAACCUGCGGUUG